rnacentral:rRNA from 1 species
CCUACGGGAGGCUGCAGUGGGGAAUAUUGCACAAUGGGGGAAACCCUGAUGCAGCGAAGCCGCGUGAGUGAAGAAGUAAUUCGUUAUGUAAAGCCCUAUCAGCAGGGAAGAAAAUGACGGUACCUGAGUAAGAAGCCACGGCUAACUACGUGCCAGCAGCCGCGGUAAUACGUAGGGGGCAGGCGUUAUACGGAUUUAACGGGUGUAAAGGGAGCGUAGACGGGAGUGCAAGUCUGGAGUGAAAGGUGGGGGAUCAAACCCCGGACUGCACGUGAAACUGUACAGCUGGAGUGCAGGAGAGGUAAGUGGAAUUCGUGGUGUAGCGGUGAAAUGCGUAGAUAUUAGGAGGAACACCAGUGGCGAAGGCAGCUUACUGGACUGUAACUGACGUUGAGGCUCGAAAGCGUGGGGAGCAAACAGGAUUAGAUACCCUUGUAGUC